rnacentral:rRNA from 1 species
GACGAACGCUGGCGGUGUGCUUAACACAUGCCAGUCGAACGGUAAGGCCCUUUCGGGGGUACACGAGUGGCGAACGGGUGAGUAACACGUGAGUAACCUGCCCUCAUCUCUGGGAUAACAGUCGGAAACGGUUGCUAAUACUGGAUAUGAGCUUGCAAGGCAUCUUGUGGGUUGGAAAGAUUUUUUUGGUUGGGGAUGGACUCGCGGCCUAUCAGCUUGUUGGUGAGGUAGUGGCUCACCAAGGCUUCGACGGGUAGCCGGCCUGAGAGGGCGACCGGCCACAUUGGGACUGAGAUACGGCCCAAACUCCUACGGGAGGCAGCAGUGGGGAAUAUUGCACAAUGGACGGAAGUCUGAUGCAGCAACGCCGCGUGCGGGAUGACGGCCUUCGGGUUGUAAACCGCUUUCAAUUGUGACGAAGCUUUUUGUGACGGUAGCAGUAGAAGAAGCACCGGCUAACUACGCG